CCUACGGGUGGCUGCAGUGGGGAAUAUUGGACAAUGGGCGAAAGCCUGAUCCAGCCAUGCCGCGUGUGUGAAGAAGGCCUUCGGGUUGUAAAGCACUUUCAGUGGGGAAGAAAGCCUUGGGGCUAAUACCCUCGAGGAAGGACAUCACCCACAGAAGAAGCACCGGCUAACUCCGUGCCAGCAGCCGCGGUAAUACGGAGGGUGCGAGCGUUAAUCGGAAUUACUGAGCGUAAAGCGCGCGUAGGCGGUCUGAUAAGCCGGUUGUGAAAGCCCCGGGCUCAACCUGGGAACGGCAUCCGGAACUGUCAGGCUAGAGUGCAGGAGAGGAAGGUAGAAUUCCCGGUGUAGCGGUGAAAUGCGUAGAGAUCGGGAGGAAUACCAGUGGCGAAGGCGGCCUUCUGGACUGACACUGACGCUGAGGUGCGAAAGCGUGGGUAGCAAACAGGAUUAGAUACCCGAGUAGUC
rnacentral:rRNA from 1 species